UGGUUCUGGCAUCGAUGAAGAACGCGGCGAAAUGCGAUAAGUAAUGUGAAUUGCAGAAUUCAGUGAAUCAUCGAAUCUUUGAACGCACAUUGCGCCCGCCGGUAUUCCGGCGGGCAUGCCUGUUCGAGCGUCAUUUCAACCCUCAGGCCUGCCUGGUGUUGGAGCACCACUACUGUGGGCUCCCAAAUUCAGCGGCGGGCGCGGCCCGGACCCGAGCGUAGUAACUUACAUCGCUUAGGGUGCCGAGCGUGUCUCAGCCGUUAAAUAUAUUUUCUAGGUUGACCUCGGAUCAGGUAGGAAUACCCGCUGA
rnacentral:misc_RNA from 1 species